GGCCUCGUAGCUCAGUUGGCUAGAGUGUUGGCUGUGGCAUGGGUUCGAAUCCCACCGAGGCCG
rnacentral:tRNA from 1 species